AACAAACGCUGGCGGCGUGCCUAAUACAUGCAAGUCGAACGGGGAAAGCUUUCGGGUGAGUACUAGUGGCGCACGGGUGAGGAACGCGUGGAUAAUCUGCCUUAGAGUGGGGGAUAACUAGUCGAAAGAUUAGCUAAUACCGCAUAAGACCACAGGAGCUGCGGCUCAAGGGGUCAAAGGUUUUUCGCUCUAAGAUGAGUCCGCGUAAGAUUAGCUAGUUGGUGAGGUAACGGCUCACCAAGGCGACGAUCUUUAACUGGUCUGAGAGGAUGAUCAGUCACACUGGAACGGAGACACGGUCCAGACUCCUACGGGAGGCAGCAGUAGGGAAUAUUGCACAAUGGAGGAAACUCUGAUGCAGCGACGCCGCGUGAGUGAUGAAGGCCUUCGGGUCGUAAAGCUCUGUCGCAGGGGAAUAACACAAUGAAGGUACCCUGUAAGAAAGGAUCGGCUAACUUCGUGCCAGCCGCCGCGGUAAUAC
rnacentral:rRNA from 1 species